GCGCCCGUAGCUCAGCUGGAUAGAGCGUCUGACUACGGAUCAGAAGGUCAGGAGUUCGAAUCUUCUCGGGCGCACCA
rnacentral:tRNA from 2 species